GGCUCCGGCCCGAUCCUCCCACCCUUUGUGUACCUACCUCUGUUGCUUUGGCGGGCCGCGGUCCUCCGCGGCCGCCCCCCUCCCCGGGGGGUGGCCAGCGCCCGCCAGAGGACCAUCAAACUCCAGUCAGUAAACGAUGCAGUCUGAAAAACAUUUAAUAAACUAAAACUUUCAACAACGGAUCUCUUGGUUCUGGCAUCGAUGAAGAACGCAGCGAAAUGCGAUAAGUAAUGUGAAUUGCAGAAUUCAGUGAAUCAUCGAAUCUUUGAACGCACAUUGCGCCCUUUGGUAUUCCGAAGGGCAUGCCUGUUCGAGCGUCAUUACAACCCUCAAGCUCUGCUUGGUAUUGGGCACCGUCCUUUGCGGGCGCGCCUCAAAGACCUCGGCGGUGGCGUCUUGCCUCAAGCGUAGUAGAACAUACAUCUCGCUUCGGAGCGCAGGGCGUCGCCCGCCGGACGAACCUUCUGAACUUUUCUCAAGGUUUGACCUCGGAUCAGGUAGGGAUAUCCGCUGAACUUAAGCAUAUCAAGUGAGGCGGGAGGGA
rnacentral:rRNA from 1 species